UAGCCUCUACUCCUAAGAAGAUGGACAUGGG
rnacentral:piRNA from 1 species